UCUCUCCUUCUCCCAUAUGAAAAUCAAUGAUGGGUAAGGCCACGCCGGUACGAUCAUGAUAUUUUACGACAGUACUGAGUAUUUAUUUUGGGUAUUGUUGCAAGAGGUAGUGUUUGUUUAUAUUUAUCGCCAGUGAGAGUGAAUUUCUGGCGUCGAAAGCUUUGAAAUGAGAUGCACUGGUGCACCGGAUUGUAUCAGCAAUUCGGCGAGAGAGAGAGAGAGAGAGAGAGCGAGAGCGAGCGAGCGAGCGAGCAAGCAGGCCGUUUCUACCGAAGAUUGGGAGGCCAACAGGUUCCCAAAACUGUUGGAAUGACAGCUGGUAACCAGUUGUACAUUUCAAGUGUUUGGGGUAAGUAAUUAAUCGGGUAAUAUACUCGCAAUUACAGCUACAAUACCGUAUUUUUCUGUACGUUAUAACCUCAUAUGAUUUGUUGAUGCUUCACUUGGACUGUUCACAAUACGAGAUGAAUAAAGCUGAUGGGAGUCAACGUUCCAAAUAUGUGCACUUCUAAUGGGAAAUGAUCAAAUAGCAAGGACCGAAGCAGGCAGUAACGAAGCCACUGGAGAGAGCUUCUGAUGAAACAUACUAAAUGCAAAAUAAGACAUUCAGUAGAACUGAAGAUGUUAUUGUAAACUUGCAGUUACAAAAAUCUUAAAGCAGAAUGAUGGCGCGGUGUCAAAGCUUAAUGUUAUGGAACUGAUGGGAGUACCUGGUAGACUAAAUAUGCAUAGAGCUUAAUCUACAUUGACCGAAGGAGACUUUCUGAAGCAGAAAAAUCAGUGAUGGAAGCCACCAAAGAAGCAAGAAUAAGUAGUGAGAAAAAGAGAAGAGAGGAAGGACAACAGAUGAAACAAGAUGAAUAUGGACCUGGGCUGUAUUAGUGCUAUGCAAGUUUAACAGAAAAAGCAAGUUUUAACUUUAACUUGAAUUUCCCAAAAGUUAAAUUAUAAUUAUGUUCUGGUACACUUUGUCUUUAAAAACUAUUAGAGACAGAGGCCUGAAAUUUUGAAAUACUGUCUUAAAACAUGCUUAAUCAAAAAGUAGACUAUUCUUGUGACUUAACCCUGAAAAUAAAAUUCUUUUUUGAA